GACGAACGCUGGCGGCGUGCUUAACACAUGCAAGUCGAACGGAAAGGCCCUGCUUUUGUGGGGUGCUCGAGUGGCGAACGGGUGAGUAACACGUGAGUAACCUGCCCUUGACUUUGGGAUAACUUCAGGAAACUGGGGCUAAUACCGGAUAGGAGCUCCUGCUGCAUGGUGGGGGUUGGAAAGUUUCGGCGGUUGGGGAUGGACUCGCGGCUUAUCAGCUUGUUGGUGGGGUAGUGGCUUACCAAGGCUUUGACGGGUAGCCGGCCUGAGAGGGUGACCGGCCACAUUGGGACUGAGAUACGGCCCAGACGCCUACGGGAGGCAGCAGUGGGGAAUAUGGCACAAUGGGCGGAAGCCUGAUGCAGCAACGCCGCGUGCGGGAUGACGGCCUUCGGGUUGUAAACCGCUUUCGCCUGUGACGAAGCGUGAGUGACGGUAAUGGGUAAAGAAGCACCGGCUAACUACGUG
rnacentral:rRNA from 1 species